ACGGAAGGCAGCAGUGGGGGAUAUUGCACAAUGGGGGAAACCCUGAUGCAGCGACGCCGCGUGAGUGAUGAAGUAUUUCGGUAUGUAAAGCUCUAUCAGCAGGAAAGAUAAUGACGGUACCUGACUAAGAAGCACCGGCUAAAUACGUGCCAGCAGCCGCGGUAAUACGUAUGGUGCAAGCGUUAUCCGGAUUUACUGGGUGUAAAGGGAGCGCAGACGGCAUGGCAAGCCAGAUGUGAAAGGCAGGGGUUCAACUCCUGGACUGCAUUUGGAACUGUCAAGCUAGAGUAUCGGAGAGGUAAGUGGAAUUCCUAGUGUAGCGGUGAAAUGCGUAGAUAUUAGGAGGAACACCAGUGGCGAAGGCGGCUUACUGGACGAUAACUGACGUUGAGGCUCGAAAGCGUGGGGAGCAAACAGGAUUAGAUACCCUGGUA
rnacentral:rRNA from 1 species